AUAGGCAUAAUGAAAGUAAAAAUUAAUUUAUCUUGUAUAAAUUAUAGGGAAGAUGAAUAAUGUAUUUUACAAUAAAUUAUUUCGCAUUCCCGGGGCGUUUAAAUUUUAUUUGUUUGUUUACAUUCAAAUGAGAUUAUGCGCACCAAAGAGUGUACACGCUGGGACCCGAAAGAUGGUGAACUAU
rnacentral:rRNA from 1 species